rnacentral:sRNA from 1 species
AGUACCGCUCGUACAUUCCGGUUCCGAUCGCGCCGUCCACACCCACCUGACGACUGCUCGCUACAUCUGUUAGCC